rnacentral:rRNA from 1 species
UACGAAGGGGGCUAGCGUUGCUCGGAAUCACUGGGCGUAAAGCGCACGUAGGCGGCUUUCUAAGUCAGGGGUGAAAUCCUGGAGCUCAACUCCAGAACUGCCUUUGAUACUGGAGAGCUAGAGUCCGGAAGAGGUGAGUGGAACUGCGAGUGUAGAGGUGAAAUUCGUAGAUAUUCGCAAGAACACCCGUGGCGAAGGCGGCCCACUGGGCCGGUACUGACGCUGAGGCACGAAGGCGUGGGGAGCGAACGGG